UGAGUAACACGUGGGUAGACCUGCCCUAAAGUCUGGGAUACCACUUGGAAACAGGUGCUAAUACCGGAUAACAACAAUAGCUGCAUGGCUAUUGCUUAAAAGGCGGCGAAAGCUGUCGCUAAAGGAUGGACCCGCGGUGCAUUAGCUAGUUGGUAAGGUAAUGGCUUACCAAGGCGACGAUGCAUAGCCGAGUUGAGAGACUGAUCGGCCACAUUGGGACUGAGACACGGCCCAAACUCCUACGGGAGGCAGCAGUAGGGAAUCUUCCACAAUGGGCGAAAGCCUGAUGGAGCAACGCCGCGUGAGUGAAGAAGGUUUUCGGAUCGUAAAGCUCUGUUGUUGGUGAAGAAGGAUAGAGGUAGUAACUGGCCCCUAUUUGACGGUAAUCAACCAGAAAGUCACGGCUAACUACGUGCCAGCAGCCGCGGUAAUACGUAGGUGGCAAGCGUUGUCCGGAUUUAUUGGGCGUAAAGCGAGCGCAGGCGGAAAGAUAAGUCUGAUGUGAAAGCCCCCGGCUUAACCGAGGAAUUGCAUCGGAAACUGUGUUUCUUGAGUGCAGAAGAGGAGAGUGGAACUCCAUGUGUAGCGGUGGAAUGCGUAGAUAUAUGGAAGAACACCAGUGGCGAAGGCGGCUCUCUGGUCUGUAACUGACGCUGAAGCUCGAAAGCAUGGGUAGCGAACAGGAUUAGAUACCCUGGUAGUCCAUGC
rnacentral:rRNA from 1 species